GGACUGUGGCUCAGCGGUAAAGCGCUCGCCUAGCAUGUGAAAGGCCCUGGGUUUGAUCCUCAGCACCA
rnacentral:tRNA from 1 species